CUGCCCAGUGACUAAUAGUUAAACGGCCGCGGUACCCUAACCGUGCAAAGGUAGCACAAUCACUUGUUCUUUAAAUCAGGACUAGUAUGAACGGCCCAACGAGGACUAUACUGUCUCCCCCCUCCAAUCAGUGAAACUGACCCCCUCGUGAAGAAGCGAGGAUAUCAUUAUAAGACGAGAAGACCCCAUGGAACUUUAAACUAGUAUCACCUCUACACUCUGAGACCUAUGACUACUAGUCUUUCGGCUGGGGCGACCACGGGGAAAAACAAAACCCCCGAGAUGAAAGGAGUAUCCUUAUCCAAGAACUACUAUUCAAAGAAUCAAUAAAUGACACUAUUGACCCAACACUUGAUCAACGAACCAAGCUACCCUGGGGAUAACAGCGCAAUCCAUUUCAAGAGACCUCAUCGACAAAUGGGCUUACGACCUCGAUGUUGGAUCAGGGAAUCCCAGUGGUGUAGCCGCUACUAAAGGUUCGUUUGUUCAACGAUUAAAACCCU
rnacentral:rRNA from 1 species